UGGAGGGGUGCUCGAAAGAGAGCCGUAACACAGGUGCUGCAUGGCUGUCGUCAGCUCGUGUCGUGAGAUGUUGGGUUAAGUCCCGCAACGAGCGCAACCCUUGCCAUUAAUUGCCAUCAUUUAGUUGGGCACUUUAAUGGGACUGCCGGUGACAAACCGGAGGAAGGUGGGGAUGACGUCAAGUCCUCAUGGCCCUUAUGGGUAGGGCUUCACACGUCAUACAAUGGUCGGUACAGAGGGUUGCCAAACCGCGAGGUGGAGCUAAUCUCUUAAAGCCGAUCGUAGUCCGGAUCGUAGUCUGCAACUCGACUACGUGAAGUCGGAAUCGCUAGUAAUCGCGGAUCAGCAUGUCGCGGUGAAUACGUUCCCGGGUCUU
rnacentral:rRNA from 1 species